AACAUAAGAAGGUGCCUGACAGAAAUAGGUCAGGAUAAUAGGGAAUCAGGUGAGAAUCCUGGACAAUCCCGUUGCUGUGUAAGCGGAGUGUUUUUUGUGCCUUUGGGUAGUCACUGUUGAAAAAUGGGAAGACAGAGAAACAUGUGGAUGCGAAGUCAGAAGACCUGCCUUUUUAUG
rnacentral:ncRNA from 1 species